GGCGCCUCGUCMCGUCCCGCAUGUGGACUUGUWUCUGUUGCCUUUCUAGUGCCUGUGCCGCUACCCGAAAUUCGGGAAGUGGCACAACGUAWAUGUUGCCUCGCGGUGGACGCCUUUGGGUGUGCUGCUGCGGCCAUACGGCGCUUGCGGCUUUGCCUUCAUAGCACGUGGWACGUAAAUGUUCAUAGCACGAGGAACGUAGACGUUGUUCGUGCUAUCAAGGCAAUCUCGCUCACGCUGUUGGUCUCGGAUGUGCCAACGAUGAAGUCUCAUGGCCCUUUUGGUUGCCUAGACCCGACCCUAAAAAGCUCUCCGAAUUGAGAACAACCGGAACAGGUGUUGCCUCUACCUCUCCACAGUUAGUGGUAGGAUACGCAACAUUUUGUGCCGAUCCUCAUAAAAGUAGGACGAGCAAAAGCUCUCCGAAUUGAGAACAACCGGAACAGGUGUUGCCUCUACCUCUCCACAGUUAGUGGUAGGAUACGUAACAUUUUGUGCCGAUCCUCAUAAAAGUAGGACGAGUAAAAGCUCUCCGAAUUGAGAACAACCGGAACAGGUGUUGCCUCUACCUCUCCACAGUUAGUGGUAGGAUACGUAACAUUUUGUGCCGAUCCUCAUAAAAGUAGGAYGAGCAAAAAGCUCCCCGAAUUGAGAACAACCGGAACAUGUGUUGCCUCUACCUCUCCACAGUUAGUGGUAGGAUACGCAACAUUUUGUGCCGAUCCUCAUAAAAGUAGGACGAGCUUGGCCGGCUCAACGKMGACAACUGGCCCGGCUGUUGUCACGUCUUUACGACGGACAACUACCGACGCUGGACGUCAAAGAGGACGUGCUACCUGGUUGAUCCUGCCA
rnacentral:misc_RNA from 1 species